rnacentral:rRNA from 1 species
UACGAAGGGGGCUAGCGUUGCUCGGAAUUACUGGGCGUAAAGCGCACGUAGGCGGCUUUCUAAGUCGGGGGUGAAAUCCUGGAGCUCAACUCCAGAACUGCCUUCGAUACUGAAGAGCUUCGAGUUCGGGAGAGGUGAGUGGAACUGCGAGUGUAGAGGUGAAAUUCGUAGAUAUUCGCAAGAACACCAGUGGCGAAGGCGGCUCACUGGCC